GAUGAACGCUGGCGGCGUGCCUAAUACAUGCAAGUAGAACGCUGAAGGAGGAGCUUGCUCUUCUGGAUGAGUUGCGAACGGGUGAGUAACGCGUAGGUAACCUGCCUGGUAGCGGGGGAUAACUAUUGGAAACGAUAGCUAAUACCGCAUGACAACAGUUAUUGCAUGAUAACUGUUUAAAAGGGGCAACUGCUCCACUACCAGAUGGACCUGCGUUGUAUUAGCUAGUUGGUGAGGUAACGGCUCACCAAGGCGACGAUACAUAGCCGACCUGAGAGGGUGAUCGGCCACACUGGGACUGAGACACGGCCCAGACUCCUACGGGAGGCAGCAGUAGGGAAUCUUCGGCAAUGGACGGAAGUCUGACCGAGCAACGCCGCGUGAGUGAAGAAGGUUUUCGGAUCGUAAAGCUCUGUUGUAAGAGAAGAACGAGUGUGAGAGUGGAAAGUUCACACUGUGACGGUAUCUUACCAGAAAGGGACGGCGAACUACGU
rnacentral:rRNA from 1 species